rnacentral:rRNA from 1 species
GCCAAAAAUCUAGCCCCACUUAACUGAAUUAAACACCUUAUUAACCUUGAAUAAACUAAAACAUUCAUCAUAUUAUAGUAAAGGCGAUCGAAAAAUUAAUUAGAGCUAUAACGAUAGUACCGCAAGGAAAAGAUGAAAUAAAAAUGAAACAAAUUUUAAGCACGAAAAAGCAGAGACACCCCCUCGUACCUUUUGCAUCAUGGUUUAACUAGAACUACCAAGCAGAAAGUAUUAAAGUUUGGCCCCCCGAAACUAAACGAGCUACUUCGAGGCAGCUUAACGAGCCCACCCGUCUCUGUUGCAAAAGAGUGGGGUGACCCCCAAGUAGCGGUGACAGACCUAACGAGUUUAGUGAUAGCUGGUUACUUAAGAAAAGGAUUUAAGUCCCACCUAAAGCAUCCUUAAUUUAGCUUAAAUAACUCCCAUGCUUUAGAAACACUCAAACGAGGUACAGCCCGUUUGAAAUUAGGAUACAACCUACACUAACGGGUAAUUUAACUUAACUUUAACCAAGUGGGCCUAAAAGCAGCCACCUUUAAAAUAGCGUCAAAGCUUACUUUUGAAAAUCCCCUAAUAUCACAGCCCAAUUAGAACCCUUUACCACUAUUAAGUAAUUCUAUAAUUAUAUAGAAGCUAUUAUGUUAAAACUAGUAACAAGAAGAAGACCUUCUCUUAAAUGUAAGUGUAAAUCAGAAAGGACAAACCACUGACAAUUAAACGCGAAUGAAUAUAAAACAGCAACACCACUAGAAAACCCUGCUUUACUUAACGUUAACCUAACACUAGAACAUUACAAGAAAGAUUAAAAGGAAAAGAAGGAACUCGGCAAACAUUAACCUCGCCUGUUUACCAAAAACAUCGCCUCUUGCCUAAAUAUAAGAGGUCCAGCCUGCCCAGUGACUGAGUUCAACGGCCGCGGUAUCCUAACCGUGCGAAGGUAGCGUAAUCACUUGUUCUUUAAAUGAGGACUAGUAUGAAUGGCAUCACGAAGGUUAUGCUGUCUCCUUUUUCUAAUCAAUGAAACUGAUUUCCCCGUGAAGAAGCGGGGAUGAAACUAUAAGACGAGAAGACCCUAUGGAGCUUUAAACUAUUAUAGCACUGGCUCACCUGCUUCCAUGUUCCAGAACAACAACAUACACUCUAGCCUUAAUGACUAUUAGUUUUAGGUUGGGGUGACCGCGGAACAAAAAUCAACCUCCACAUUGAAAGGAAUUAUACUCCUGAGCUUAGAACUACAACUCCAAGCACCAAUAAACUGACAUCCAUUGACCCAAUACUUUGAUCAACGAACCAAGUUACCCUAGGGAUAACAGCGCAAUCCACUUCAAGAGCCCCUAUCGACAGGUGGGUUUACGACCUCGAUGUUGGAUCAGGGUAUCCUAGUGGUGCAGCCGCUACUAAUGGUUCGUUUGUUCAACGAUUAAAACCCU